rnacentral:rRNA from 1 species
AACGAACGCUGGCGGCAGGCCUAACACAUGCAAGUCGAACGGUUGUAGCAAUACAGCAGUGGCGCACGGGUGAGUAGCACGUGGGAACGUGCCUUUCAGUCUGGAAUAACAGCGGGAAACUGCUGCUAAUACCGGAUAUUCUCUACGGAGGAAAGAUUUAUCGCUGAAAGAUCGGCCCGCGUUAGAUUAGGUAGUUGGUAGGGUAAUGGCCUACCAAGCCUACGAUCUAUAGCUGGUCUGAGAGGAUGAUCAGCCACACUGGAACUGAGACACGGUCCAGACUCCUACGGGAGGCAGCAGUGGGGAAUAUUGGACAAUGGGGGAAACCCUGAUCCAGCCAUGCCGCGUGAGUGACGAAGGCCUUAGGGUUGUAAAGCUCUUUUAUCAGGGACGAUGAUGACGGUACCUGAAGAAUAAGACACGGCUAACUUCGUGCCAGCCGCCGCGGUAA